rnacentral:rRNA from 1 species
UUGAAAGGGAAACGAUUGAAGUCAGUCGUGCUGGCGCGAAAUCAACCUUCUCGUCUUGAGAUCACAUGGCGUGGCGAGCCUCAAAACCGUCACGAAGCGUGAACUCUUGGUGAAAUGGAGCACUUUCGUGUCCGCUGGUUAACAUCAAUUUCGAACGUCAUAAAAAGGCUGGAGGGAUGUGGCUCCUUCGGGAGUGUUAUAACCUUUAGCGGAAUGUGGUGUUCGGGAUUGAGGAUUGCAACGAAUACCUUUAGGGCUGUUCCACCUGGCUUCUCUUUGGUAUCCUGGUGACGACAGCUUGCUGACUUUGUUAGGAUUCGCCUUUGAACAGGCUAGAGUGUGAGCAAAUUCGUUAAGGAUGUUGACGUA